rnacentral:rRNA from 1 species
UACGGGGGGGGGCAAGCGUUGUUCGGAAUUACUGGGCGUAAAGGGCUCGUAGGCGGCCAACUAAGUCAGACGUGAAAUCCCUCGGCUUAACCGGGGAACUGCGUCUGAUACUGGAUGGCUUGAGUUCGGGAGAGGGAUGCGGAAUUCCAGGUGUAGCGGUGAAAUGCGUAGAUAUCUGGAGGAACACCGGUGGCGAAGGCGGCAUCCUGGACCGAAACUGACGCUGAGGAGCGAAAGCCAGGGGAGCAAACGGG